rnacentral:rRNA from 1 species
CCCUUAGAUGUCCGGGGCCGCACGCGCGCUACACUGAAGGAAUCAGCGUGGAUCUCCCCCCUGCUCCGAAAGGAGUGGGAAACCCGUUGAAUCUCCUUCGUGCUAGGGAUUGGGGCUUGUAAUUCUUCCCCAUGAACGAGGAAUUCCCAGUAAGCGCGAGUCAUAAGCUCGCGUUGAUUACGUCCCUGCCCUUUGUACACACCGCCCGUCGCUACUAUCGAUUGAGCGAUCCGGUGAAUAAUUCGGACUGCAGCAGGCCUGGUCUCCGGGUUUUGCAGCGGAAAGUUUAGUGAACCUUAUCACUUAGAGGAAGGAGAAGUCGUAACA